GACCAGACUCCUACGGGAGGCAGCAGUGGGGAAUAUUGCACAAUGGGGGAAACCCUGAUGCAGCGACGCCGCGUGAGCGAUGAAGUAUUUCGGUAUGUAAAGCUCUAUCAGCAGGGAAGAAAAUGACGGUACCUGACUAAGAAGCCCCGGCUAACUACGUGCCAGCAGCCGCGGUAAUACGUAGGGGGCAAGCGUUAUCCGGAUUUACUGGGUGUAAAGGGAGCGUAGACGGUCCUGCAAGCCAGAUGUGAAAGCCCGGGGCUCAACCCCGGGACUGCAUUGGAAACUGGCAGGCUGGAGUGCCGGAGAGGCAGGCGGAAUUCCUAGUGUAGCGGUGAAAUGCGUAGAUAUUAGGAGGAACACCAGUGGCGAAGGCGGCCUGCUGGACGGUGACUGACGCUGAGGCUCGAAAGCGUGGGGAGCAAACAGGAUUAGAUACCCCCGUAC
rnacentral:rRNA from 1 species